AUAUGCAGCACGGGAGAGAUCGUUCGACAGAACGGCGCCGACGGAGCAACCGCCCCGGAAACUCUCAGGCAAAAGGACUGUUGCUGCAGG
rnacentral:ncRNA from 2 species